rnacentral:rRNA from 1 species
UGGGGAAUAUUGCACAAUGGGCGAAAGCCUGAUGCAGCAACGCCGCGUGAGUGAUGAAGGCCCUCGGGUUGUAAAGCUCUGUCUUUUGGGACGAUAAUGACGGUACCAAAGGAGGAAGCCACGGCUAACUACGUGCCAGCAGCCGCGGUAAUACGUAGGUGGCAAGCGUUGUCCGGAUUUACUGGGCGUAAAGGAUGCGUAGGCGGAUUUUUAAGUGAGAUGUGAAAUACCCGGGCUUAACUUGGGUGCUGCAUUUCAAACUGGGAAUCUAGAGUGCGGGAGAGGAGAAUGGAAUUCCUAGUGUAGCGGUGAAAUGCGUAGAGAUUAGGAAGAACACCAGUGGCGAAGGCGAUUCUCUGGACCGUAACUGACGCUGAGGCAUGAAAGCGUGGGUAGCAAACAGGAUUAGAUACCCUGGUAGUCCACGCCGUAAACGAUGAGUACUAGGUGUAGGAGGUAUCGACCCCUUCUGUGCCGCAGUUAACACAAUAAGUACUCCGCCUGGGAAGUACGAUCGCAAGAUUAAAAA